UUAUAAGAGACAGCAGCAGCCACGGUAAUACGUAGGGUGCAAGCGUUAAUCGGAAUUACUGGGCGUAAAGCGUGCGCAGGCGGUUAUAUAAGACAGAUGUGAAAUCCCCGGGCUCAACCUGGGAACUGCAUUUGUGACUGUAUAGCUAGAGUACGGCAGAGGGGGAUGGAAUUCCGCGUGUAGCAGUGAAAUGCGUAGAUAUGCGGAGGAACACCGAUGGCGAAGGCAAUCCCCUGGGCCUGUACUGACGCUCAUGCACGAAAGCGUGGGGAGCAAACAGGAUUAGAUACCCCGGUAGUCCCUGUCUAUUAUAC
rnacentral:rRNA from 1 species